rnacentral:rRNA from 1 species
GUGAUAUUAUGAAUACACGGUCUACCAAAACCAUAUCACACUGAAGCUAAGCAAAGUUAAGCCUGGCCAGUAGCUGGAUAGGAGACUUUCUGGGGAAAACUAAGGUUGC